rnacentral:rRNA from 1 species
UACGGAGGGUGCAAGCGUUAUCCGGAUUCACUGGGUUUAAAGGGUGCGUAGGCGGGCAGGUAAGUCCGUGGUGAAAUCUCUGAGCUUAACUUGGAAACUGCCAUUGAUACUAUCAGUCUUGAAUACCGUGGAGGUCAGCGGAAUAUGUCAUGUAGCGGUGAAAUGCUUAGAUAUGACAUAGAACACCAAUUGCGAAGGCAGCUGGCUACACAUAUAUUGACACUGAUGCACGAAAGCGUGGGGGAGCAAACAGG